rnacentral:rRNA from 1 species
CCUACGGGUGGCAGCAGUGGGGGAUAUUGCACAAUGGGGGGAACCCUGAUGCAGCGACGCCGCGUGGGUGAAGGAGCGUUUCGGCGCGUAAAGCCCUAUCGGCAGGGAAGAAGGAGGACGGUACCUGACUAAGAAGCCCCGGCUAACUACGUGCCAGCAGCCGCGGUAAUACGUAGGGGGCAAGCGUUAUCCGGAUUUACUGGGUGUAAAGGGGGAGCAGACGGCAGCGAAAGGCAGGAGGGAAAGCCCGGGGCCCAACCCCGGGACUGCGCUUGAAACUGCGCGGCUGGAGGGCAGGAGGGGCAGGCGGAAUUCCUGGUGUAGCGGUGAAAUGCGUAGAUAUCAGGAGGAACACCGGUGGCGAAGGCGACCUGCUAGAACAUAACUGACGCUGAUGCGCGAAAGCGUGGGGAGCAAACAGGAUUAGAUACCCCUGUAGUC